AGAGUUUGAUCAUGGCUCAGAUUGAACGCUGGCGGCAUGCUUUACACAUGCAAGUCGAACGGCAGCACGAGUGCUUGCACUUGGUGGCGAGUGGCGAACGGGUGAGUAAUACAUCGGAACGUGUCCUGAAGUGGGGGAUAACGCAUCGAAAGAUGUGCUAGUACCGCAUAUUCUCUGAGGAGGAAAGUAGGGGAUCGAAAGACCUUAUGCUUUUGGAGCGGCCGAUGUCUGAUUAGCUAGUUGGUGAGGUAAAGGCUUACCAAGGCGACGAUCAGUAGUUGGUCUGAGAGGACGACCAGCCACACUGGGACUGAGACACGGCCCAGACUCCUACGGGAGGCAGCAGUGGGGAAUUUUGGACAAUGGGCGCGAGCCUGAUCCAGCAAUGCCGUGUGAGUGAAGAAGGCCUUCGGGUUGUAAAGCUCUUUCAGUCGAGAAGAAAAGGUUGUGACUAAUACUCACAAUCCAUGACGGUAUCGACAGAAGAAGCACCGGCUAACUACGUGCCAGCAGCCGCGGUAAUACGUAGGGUGCGAGCGUUAAUCGGAAUUACUGGGCGUAAAGGGUGCGCAGGCGGUUCUGUAAGUCAGAUGUGAAAUCCCCCGGGCUUAACCUGGGAAUUGCGUUUGAAACUACAGGGCUAGAGUGUAGCAGAGGGGGGUGGAAUUCCUGUGUAGCAGUGAAAUGCGUAGAGAUAUGGAAGAACAUCGAUGGCGAAGGCAGCCCCCUGGGUUAACACUGACGCUCAGGCACGAAAGCGUGGGGAGCAAACAGGAUUAGAUACCCUAGUAGUCC
rnacentral:rRNA from 1 species